rnacentral:rRNA from 1 species
AUUGAACGCUGGCGGCAGGCCUAACACAUGCAAGUCGAGCGGAUGACGGGAGCUUGCUCCUUGAUUCAGCGGCGGACGGGUGAGUAAUGCCUAGGAAUCUUCCUGGUAGUGGGGGACAACGUUUCGAAAGGAACGCUAAUACCGCAUACGUUCUACGGGAGAAAGCAGGGGACCUUCGGGCCUUGCGCCAUCAGAUGAGCCUAGGUCGGAUUAGCUAGUUGGUGGGGUAAUGGCUCACCAAGGCGACGAUCCGUAACUGGUCUGAGAGGAUGAUCAGUCACACUGGAACUGAGACACGGUCCAGACUCCUACGGGAGGCAGCAGUGGGGAAUAUUGGACAAUGGGCGAAAGCCUGAUCCAGCCAUGCCGCGUGUGUGAAGAAGGUCUUCGGAUUGUAAAGCACUUUAAGUUGGGAGGAAGGGCAGUAAGUUAAUACCUUGCUGUUUUGACGUUACCGACAGAAUAAGCACCGGCUAACUCUGUGCCAGCCGCCGCCGUAAAAC